AUUGAACGCUAGCGGGAUGCCUUACACAUGCAAGUCGAACGGCGGCACGGACUUCGGUCUGGUGGCGAGUGGCGAACGGGUGAGUAAUGUAUCGGAACGUGCCUAGUAGCGGGGGAUAACUACGCGAAAGCGUAGCUAAUACCGCAUACGCCCUACGGGGGAAAGCAGGGGAUCGCAAGACCUUGCACUAUUAGAGCGGCCGAUAUCGGAUUAGCUAGUUGGUGGGGUAACGGCUCACCAAGGCGACGAUCCGUAGCUGGUUUGAGAGGACGACCAGCCACACUGGGACUGAGACACGGCCCAGACUCCUACGGGAGGCAGCAGUGGGGAAUUUUGGACAAUGGGGGAAACCCUGAUCCAGCCAUCCCGCGUGUGCGAUGAAGGCCUUCGGGUUGUAAAGCACUUUUGGCAGGAAAGAAACGUCAUGGGUUAAUACCCCGUGAAACUGACGGUACCUGCAGAAUAAGCACCGGCUAACUACGUGCCAGCAGCCGCGGUAAUACGUAGGGUGCAAGCGUUAAUCGGAAUUACUGGGCGUAAAGCGUGCGCAGGCGGUUCGGAAAGAAAGAUGUGAAAUCCCAGAGCUUAACUUUGGAACUGCAUUUUUAACUACCGAGCUAGAGUGUGUCAGAGGGAGGUGGAAUUCCGCGUGUAGCAGUGAAAUGCGUAGAUAUGCGGAGGAACACCGAUGGCGAAGGCAGCCUCCUGGGAUAACACUGACGCUCAUGCACGAAAGCGUGGGGAGCAAACAGG
rnacentral:rRNA from 1 species